CUGCGCAUCUGUUGUGUGUGUGCGUCUGUCUGUCUGUUCAGGUCUGUUUUAGGCUGUGUCUGCCUGUCUCUCUGUCUGGGUCUCUUUCAGGCUGCGUCGGUCUGUCUGUCUGGGUCUGUUUCAGGCUGUGUCUGUCUGUCUGUCUGGGUCUGUUUCAGGCUGUGUCUGUCUGUCUGUCCGGGUCUGUUUCAGGCUGUGUCUGUCUGUCUGUCCGGGUCUGUUUCAGGCUGUGUCUGUCUGUCUGUUUGUCUGGGUCUGUUUCAGGCUGUGUCUGUCUGUCCGGGUCUGUUUCAGGCUGUAUGUGUGUCUGCUCUUUGCUUCUGCUCCUGGCUCUGUGUGUAUUUCCCGGGUCCUGUGG
rnacentral:lncRNA from 1 species